rnacentral:misc_RNA from 1 species
GAAAUGCGAUAAGUAGUGUGAAUUGCAGAAUUCAGUGAAUCAUCGAAUCUUUGAACGCACAUUGCGCCCCUCGGCAUUCCGUGGGGCAUGCCUGUUCGAGCGUCAUCUACACCCUCAAGCUCUGCUUGGUGUUGGGCGUCUGUCCCGCCUCCGCGCGCGGACUCGCCCCAAAUGCAUUGGCAGCGGUUCCUUGCCCCCCUCUUUGCGCAGCACAUUGCCAUUCGAGGCGGCGGCGGCCCGCGUCCAACAAGCUCAACCCCCCCGUCUUUGACCUCGGAUGAGGUAGGGAUACCCGCUUAACUUAAGC